rnacentral:rRNA from 1 species
ACCGCGGCUCCGACGAGUCGAGUUGUUUGGGAAUGCAGCUCUAAGUGGGUGGUAAAUUCCAUCUAAAGCUAAAUAUUGGCGAGAGACCGAUAGCGAACAAGUACAGUGAUGGAAAGAUGAAAAGCACUUUGAAAAGAGAGUGAAACAGCACGUGAAAUUGUUGAAAGGGAAGGGCUUGCAAGCAGACACGGUUUUACCGGGCCAGCGUCGAAAAGGGGGGAGGAACAAGAACUCGAGAAUGUGGCGCGCACCUUCGGGCGCGCGUGUUAUAGCUCGUGUUGACGCCUCCAUCCCUUU